rnacentral:tRNA from 1 species
UCAGACUUGGCCAAAUGGUUAAGGUGUCCGCUUUGUAAGUGGAUGAUCAUGGGUUCGAUGCCCAUCUGCCUUAA